rnacentral:rRNA from 1 species
GACGAACGCUGGCGGCGCGCCUAACACAUGCAAGUCGAACGAGCGAGAGAGAGCUUGCUUUUCUCGAGCGAGUGGCGAACGGGUGAGUAACGCGUGAGGAACCUGCCUCAAAGAGGGGGACAACAGUUGGAAACGACUGCUAAUACCGCAUAAGCCCACGACCCGGCAUCGGGUUGAGGGAAAAGGAGCAAUCCGCUUUGAGAUGGCCUCGCGUCCGAUUAGCUGUUGGUGAGGUAACGGCCCACCAAGGCACGAUCGGUAGCCGGACUGAGAGGUUGAACGGCCACAUUGGGACUGAGACACGGCCCAG